CCUACGGGUGGCAGCAGUGAGGAAUAUUGGUCAAUGGACGCAAGUCUGAACCAGCCAUGCCGCGUGCAGGAAGACGGCUCUAUGAGUUGUAAACUUCUUUUGUACGAGGGUAAAUCCCGAUACGUGUAUCUGUUUGAAAGUAUCUUACGAAUAAGGAUCGGCUAACUCCGUGCCAGCAGCCGCGGUAAUACGGAGGAUUCAAGCGUUAUCCGGAUUUAUUGGGUUUAAAGGGUGCGUAGACGGUUCGAUAAGUUAGUGGUGAAAUCCUGCGGCUCAACCCCGGAACUGCCAUUGAUACUGGCGGGCUAGAGUUUAGUUGAGGUAGGCGGAAUGUGUGGUGUAGCGGUGAAAUGCAUAGAGAUCAUGAAGAACACCGAUUGCGAAGGCAGCUUACCAAACUACGACUGACGUUGAGGCACGAAAGCGUGGGGAGCAAACAGGAUUAGAUACCCGAGUAGUC
rnacentral:rRNA from 1 species